UACGUAGGGCGCAAGCGUUAUCCGGAAUUAUUGGGCGUAAAGAGCUCGUAGGCGGUUUGUCGCGUCUGCUGUGAAAACCCGAGGCUCAACCUCGGGCCUGCAGUGGGUACGGGCAGACUAGAGUGCGGUAGGGGAGAUUGGAAUUCCUGGUGUAGCGGUGGAAUGCGCAGAUAUCAGGAGGAACACCGAUGGCGAAGGCAGAUCUCUGGGCCGUAACUGACGCUGAGGAGCGAAAGCGUGGGGAGCGAACAGG
rnacentral:rRNA from 1 species